UACGGAGGAUGCGAGCGUUAUCCGGAUUUAUUGGGUUUAAAGGGUGCGUAGGCGGCCUGCCAAGUCAGCGGUAAAAUUGCGGGGCUCAACCCCGUACAGCCGUUGAAACUGCCGGGCGCGAGUGGGCGAGAAGUAUGCGGAAUGCGUGGUGUAGCGGUGAAAUGCAUAGAUAUCACGCAGAACCCCGAUUGCGAAGGCAGCAUACCGGCGCCCUACUGACGCUGAGGCACGAAAGUGCGGGGAUCAAACAGG
rnacentral:rRNA from 1 species